rnacentral:rRNA from 1 species
UACGUAGGGGGCUAGCGUUGUCCGGAUUUAUUGGGCGUAAAGAGCGUGUAGGCGGCCAGAUAGGUCUGCUGUGAAAACUCGAGGCUCAACCUCGAGAUGUCGGCGGAAACCAUUUGGCUAGAGUCCGGAAGAGGAAAGUGGAAUUCCUGGUGUAGCGGUGAAAUGCGCAGAUAUCAGGAAGAACACCAAUGGCGAAAGCAGCUUUCUGGGACGGUACUGACGCUGAGACGCGAAAGCGUGGGGAGCGAACAGG